rnacentral:rRNA from 1 species
GGAAGGUUAAGAGGAGUGGUUAGCGCAAGCGAAGCUACGAAUCGAAGCCCCAGUAAACGGCGGCCGUAACUAUAACGGUCCUAAGGUAGCGAAAUUCCUUGUCGGGUAAGUUCCGACCCGCACGAAAGGCGUAACGAUUUGGGCACUGUCUCAACGAGAGACUCGGUGAAAUCAUAGUACCGGUGAAGAUGCCGGUUACCCGCGACAGGACGGAAAGACCCCGUGGAGCUUUACUGUAGCCUGAUAUUGAAAUUCGGUACAGUUUGUACAGGAUAGGUAGGAGCCUUAGAAGCGUGAGCGCUAGCUUACGUGGAGGCAUUGGUGGGAUACUACCCUAAUUGUAUUGGAUUUCUAACCCGCAGCACUUAUCGUGCUGGGAGACAGUGUCAGGCGGGCAGUUUGACUGGGGCGGUCGCCUCCUAAAGAGUAACGGAGGCGCUCAAAGGUUCCCUCAGAAUGGUUGGAAAUCAUU